rnacentral:rRNA from 1 species
UGGCCUACGGGGGGCAGCAGUGAGGAAUAUUGGUCAAUGGUCGGGAGACUGAACCAGCCAAGCCGCGUGAGGGAUGAAGGUACAGAGUAUCGUAAACCUCUUUUGUCAGGGAACAAAGGCGGGGACGUGUCCCCGGAUGAGUGUACCUGAAGAAAAAGCAUCGGCUAACUCCGUGCCAGCAGCCGCGGUAAUACGGAGGAUGCGAGCGUUAUCCGGAUUUAUUGGGUUUAAAGGGUGCGCAGGCGGGCCGCUAAGCGGGACCUCUAAUCUUGG